rnacentral:lncRNA from 1 species
AAAUCAUCAAUUUCAUUUAAUAUAUGUUCCAAAAGCCAAUAUGAAUAUGUAAUAUUGAUUAUUGUGUGUAGUUCUAUAAAAUGUGAAAACAAAAAUCGAAACACUAAUAUAUGUAGCAGCAUAUAGUGAAUUUGAUAAGCGAUAGAAAAUGAUAUUAAUAUUGUUCUCAAAAGUAAUUAAACCUAGGGAGCCAGGAACUCGAACUUCUCUUCUGCAAGCAGCCAACAGACUCAGAACAUUUAAAACAUCAAGAAUUAUUAAUUUGAUGAAACAAGCAAAAGGACCAGGAAAUAUUUAUAUGUCUAAUAUUUUCUGGAAUGUUACAAAUCAAGAAAAUACUUCAUUAUUCAUUGCUAAAUUUGUACUAAUACAUCUAUAAAAUUCUGUGUUCUAGAAAAACAAGAAAAAGGAAAAAAAAAAACAGAAAAGCUUAGUGAUUUGGUAUUCAGAAAUAGCCGAUACUAUCAAACUAUGAAUAUAAUAAAUUGAAGGGUAUAUAUAUGAAUUCUUAGAUAAAGAAUAUAAAGAAACUGUAGAGGAAAGAAGAUAAACUGUGAGAAAAUGUUCGCAGUAACCAUAAUUAUUCUAUUUUUUCUAUAAAAAAUUGAUUUUAUUUGGUGAUUUUAAUGAACAUCCGGAUGAAGUCG